rnacentral:rRNA from 1 species
AACGAACGCUGGCGGCAGGCCUAACACAUGCAAGUCGAACGCUCGUAGCAAUACGAGAGUGGCAGACGGGUGAGUAACACGUGGGAACCUUCCUUUGGUUCGGAAUAGCUCAGGGAAACUUGAGGUAAUACCGGGAUAAGCCCUUACGGGGAAAGAUUUAUCGCCAUAGGAUGGGCCCGCGUCGGAUUAGCUAGUUGGUGAGGUAACGGCUCACCAAGGCGACGAUCCGUAGCUGGUCUGAGAGGAUGAUCAGCCACACUGGGACUGAGACACGGCCCAGACUCCUACGGGAGGCAGCAGUGGGGAAUAUUGGACAAUGGGCGCAAGCCUGAUCCAGCCAUGCCGCGUGAGUGACGAA